UACGAAGGGGGCUAGCGUUGUUCGGAUUUACUGGGCGUAAAGCGCACGUAGGCGGAUCGUUAAGUCGGGGGUGAAAUCCUGGAGCUCAACUCCAGAACUGCCUUCGAUACUGGCGAUCUUGAGUCCGGAAGAGGUGAGUGGAACUCCUAGUGUAGAGGUGGAAUUCGUAGAUAUUAGGAAGAACACCAGUGGCGAAGGCGGCUCACUGGUCCGGUACUGACGCUGAGGUGCGAAAAGCGUGGGGAGCGAACAGG
rnacentral:rRNA from 1 species